GGUCACUGCUAUCGGUGUUCGUCUAAGCCAUGCGAGUCAUAUGUUCUUCGGAACAUGGCGUACUGCUCAGUAACACGUGGAUAACCUGCCCUUGGGUCUGGCAUAACCCCGGGAAACUGGGGAUAAUACCGGAUAACGCAUAUCUGCUGGAAUUCUUUAUGCGUGAAAUGGAUUCGUCUGCCCAAGGAUGGGUCUGCGGCCUAUCAGGUAGUAGUGGGUGUAAUGUACCUACUAGCCGACGACGGGUACGGGUUGUGAGAGCAAGAGCCCGGAUAUGGAUUCUGAGACAUGAAUCCAGGCCCUACGGGGCGCAGCAGGCGCGAAAACUUUACAAUGCGGGAAACCGUGACAAGGGGACACCGAGUGCCAGCAUUAUAUGUUGGCUGUCCGGGUGUGUAAAAUACACCUGUUAGCAAGGGCCGGGCAAGACCGGUGCCAGCCGCCGCGGUAACACCGGCGGCCCGAGUGGUGAUCGUGUUUAUUGGGUCUAAAGGGUCCGUAGCCGGUUUGGUCAGUCCUCCGGGAAAUCUGACGGCUUAACCGUUAGGCUUUCGGGGGAUACUGCCAGACUUGGAACCGGGAGAGGUAAGAGGUACUACAGGGGUAGGAGUGAAAUCUUGUAAUCCCUGUGGGACCACCUGUGGCGAAGGCGUCUUACCAGAACGGGUUCGACGGUGAGGGACGAAAGCUGGGGGCACGAACCGGAUUAGAUACCCGGGUAGUCCCAGCCGUAAACGAUGCUCGCUAGGUGUCAGGCAUGGCGCGACCGUGUCUGGUGCCGCAGGGAAGCCGUGAAGCGAGCCACCUGGGAAGUACGGCCGCAAGGCUGAAACUUAA
rnacentral:rRNA from 1 species